AUUGAACGCUGGCGGCAGGCUUAACACAUACAAGUCGAGCGGAGAUGAGGUGCUUGCACCUUAUCUUAGCGGCGGACGGGUGAGUAAUGCUUAGGAAUCUGCCUAUUAGUGGGGGACAACAUUCCGAAAGGAAUGCUAAUACCGCAUACGUCCUACGGGAGAAAGCAGGGGAACUUCGGACCUUGCGCUAAUAGAUGAGCCUAAGUCGGAUUAGCUAGUUGGUGGGGUAAAGGCCUACCAAGGCGACGAUCUGUAGCGGGUCUGAGAGGAUGAUCCGCCACACUGGGACUGAGACACGGCCCAGACUCCUACGGGAGGCAGCAGUGGGGAAUAUUGGACAAUGGGGGGAACCCUGAUCCAGCCAUGCCGCGUGUGUGAAGAAGGCCUUAUGGUUGUAAAGCACAUUAAGCGAGGAGGAGGCUACUGAGACUAAUACUCUUGGAUAGUGGACGUUACUCGCAGAAUAAGCACCGGCUAACUCUGUGCCAGCCGCCGCAGUAA
rnacentral:rRNA from 1 species